GAAUCACUCAUGUGAUGGAUUUCAAAAGAUUUGCAUUUAGCUGUAAAAUCAUCAUGGCUAACUAAAGAACGCGUGAUUUAGUGACAUAAAUAAAGUGCAGCUGACUGGUGGUCCCGAUCCAAAAAUUAGGAUCGUCCUCAUACUCUCUCGUGUGAUGCGUUCAAGGCCGGCGGGGAAUUUUCAUUAGCACCUUGCACUGAAGUCCUUCUCUGUCCUUCCUUGUUGUGGCUCAGCUCUGCGUGCAGACGAAGGCCCACCGCUGCCGUGUAUGAAGCUGCGCGUCACCGUGUGCUGCGAGACCGCAUCCAAGGGCUCCAAACAAACACAAGCAACAUCACCUCUGAGUCGAGGUUGUCCGUCGAGGGCGCCUUGGCUUCGGCUCCUCUUCAUCCUCCUCAUCCUCCUCACCGUCCUGCUGACCACCUGACCUCCUCGCACCUGUUCCCAGUGAGAGGGGAACAUUCGGGCACAGUCGGUGACCCCCCGCCCCCCUCGCCCGUCCAUGCAAGGAGACUGCGGAAGACAUGUUUGUCAUUGCCCACACACAAACAUCCAGUUGCACCACACACAUUUUCACUCAGGGACUUAGUGUACCCCACUCCCCAAUGCUACUAAUAAUUUCCUCCAGUUCCUGUACGGUACACUGCCUGUCAUAAUAUGACACUGGCAAAGAUAGAUGAACAAAACACGUGUUUAGUUAUGAAAUCAUUUUCAGACCAAUUAAGUGACAUUUUUAUUCGUUCCUGCGCUAUUGCGAUGUACCGCCGGCAUAGCUGGAUGAACAAAAACAAACAAAAAAAAAUGAAAUGCUUUUAUUUGCGGUGAAUCAUUUUUCAAAACCAAUUCAGGAAAAUCAGAUGAAAUAGACGCAUUUACAAAGAUAUUGGUCAGCCUUUGUUGACACUGUACUCAUUAAUAAUUCUAAUUUUUUGUGUGCAAUUAUAUUUUGUAUCAAAAAAGAUGUCAAGCAUGUUGAUAGGAUUAAGUGACAGAUGAAAUGCAUUUCACUGAGCUAACUGCAAAAUGUAAUCGUUUGUCAAAGUGUCCCAAUUUUCUUUUCGGCACUUAAAUGAAUUUGUUUUCUAUAAAUUUGUCAAUUUGAUCAAUUAAAAAAAAAGACAGGGGACACAUGAGCUAUUCGGGAAAAAUGAGGCAAGGCUACUGCGCCCCCUAUUGGGAUCCAACUGGUUGUACUGGAAUUGGACUGGGUUGUCCGCCCACCGGAUUACAAUGGUGGUGUUUCAUAAUAAUAAUAAUAAUGAUGAUGAUAAGAAGAGGUGGAUCUUGGACUGCUUUGUCCCGUUUGAUCGGGCACACCGCCAUGUGCUCCCUCUAUGGAUCACAGGGCAAACGCAGGCCAAAGGGAAUUGUGGGUAAACACAACAUUGGGGCUGGUCGUGCUCCACUGAAGCGAACCGCUGCAGAUGAUGUGCAUACACGCUCCUUUCUUUUUUUCAUUUUUUUUUUCUUUUUUAGAAACAAGUUCUCUUUUUAUUUUUUU